UUUAAAUGUCUGCUUGCUAAUGCAAGAAGCUUGUGAAGGAAAAUAGGGGAGCUUGAGAUAUUGGCAUAUAAGGAGCAGAAUUACAUAGUUGGGAUUCCUGAGACUUGAUGGGAUGAAACACUUGAUUGGGCCAUUAAAGGACCACUAUAGUGCCAGGAAAACAAACUCGUUUUCCUGGCACUAAAGUGCCCUGAGAGUGCCCCCACCCUCAGGGUCCUCCUCCCGCCGGGCU